rnacentral:rRNA from 1 species
UACGUAGGGUGCGAGCGUUGUCCGGAAUUACUGGGCGUAAAGAGCUCGUAGGUGGUUUGUCGCGUUGUUCGUGAAAACUCACAGCUUAACUGUGGGCGUGCGGGCGAUACGGGCAGACUGGAGUACUGCAGGGGAGACUGGAAUUCCUGGUGUAGCGGUGGAAUGCGCAGAUAUCAGGAAGAACACCCGUGGCGAAGGCGGCUCUCUGGAACGCAACUGACGCUGAGACGCGGAAGCGUGGGGAGCAAACAGG